rnacentral:rRNA from 1 species
GACGGAGGAUGCAAGUGUUAUCCGGAAUCACUGGGCGUAAAGCGUCUGUAGGUGGUUCGAAAAUCCACUGUUAAAAAUUGAGGCUUAACUUCAAAGAUGCCGUGGAAACUUUCAAACUAGAGUAUGGUAGGGGUAGAGGGAAUUUCCAGUGGAGCGGUGAAAUGCGUAGAUAUUGGAAAGACCACCGAUGGCGAAGGCACUCUACUGGGCCAUUACUGACACUGAGAGACGAAAGCUAGGGGAGCAAAUGGG